rnacentral:rRNA from 1 species
UGCCUGGGCGCAGCCUGAUCCAGCAAUGCCGCGUGAGUGAAGAAGGCCUUCGGGUUGUAAAGCUCUUUUGUCAGGGAAGAAACGGUUCAGGCUAAUAUCCUGGGCUAAUGACGGUACCUGAAGAAUAAGCACCGGCUAACUACGUGCCAGCAGCCGCGGUAAUACGUAGGGUGCAAGCGUUAAUCGGAAUUACUGGGCGUAAAGCGUGCGCAGGCGGUUUUGUAAGUCUGACGUGAAAGCCCCGGGCUCAACCUGGGAAUUGCGUUGGAGACUGCAAGGCUUGAAUCUGGCAGAGGGGGGUAGAAUUCCACGUGUAGCAGUGAAAUGCGUAGAGAUGUGGAGGAACACCGAUGGCGAAGGCAGCCCCCUGGGUCAAGAUUGACGCUCAUGCACGAAAGCGUGGGGAGCAAACAGGAUUAGAUACCCUGGUAGUCCACGCCCUAAACGAUGUCUACUAGUUGUCGGGUUUUAAUUAACUUGGUAACGCAGCUAACGCGUGAAGUAGACCGCCUGGGGAGUACGGUCGCAAGAUUAAAACUCAAAUGAAAUUGACGG